AAAUUGAAGAGUUUGAUCAUGGCUCAGAUUGAACGCUGGCGGCAGGCCUAACACAUGCAAGUCGAACGGUAACAGGAAGAAGCUUGCUUCUUUGCUGACGAGUGGCGGACGGGUGAGUAAUGUCUGGGAAACUGCCUGAUGGAGGGGGAUAACUACUGGAAACGGUAGCUAAUACCGCAUAACGUCGCAAGACCAAAGAGGGGGACCUUCGGGCCUCUUGCCAUCGGAUGUGCCCAGAUGGGAUUAGCUUGUUGGUGGGGUAACGGCUCACCAAGGCGACGAUCCCUAGCUGGUCUGAGAGGAUGACCAGCACACUGGAACUGAGACACGGUCCAGACUCCUACGGGAGGCAGCAGUGGGGAAUAUUGCACAAUGGGCGCAAGCCUGAUGCAGCCAUGCCGCGUGUAUGAAGAAGGCCUCGGGUUGUAAAGUACUUUCAGCGGGGAGGAAGGGAGUAAAGUUAAUACCUUUGCUCAUUGACGUUACCCGCAGAAGAAGCACCGGCUAACUCCGUGCCAGCAGCCGCGGUAAUACGGAGGGUGCAAGCGUUAAUCGGAAUACUGGCGUAAGACGCACGCAGGCGGUUUGUUAAGUCAGAUGUGAAAUCCCCGGGCUCAACCUGGGAACUGCAUCUGAUACUGGCAAGCUUGAGUCUCGUAGAGGGGGGUAGAAUUCCAGGUGUAGCGGUGAAAUGCGUAGAGAUCUGGAGGAAUACCGGUGGCGAAGGCGGCCCCCUGGACGAAGACUGACGCUCAGGUGCGAAAGCGUGGGGAGCAAACAGGAUUAGAUACCCUGGUAGUCCACGCCGUAAACGAUGUCGACUUGGAGGUUGUGCCCUUGAGGCGUGGCUUCCGGAGCUAACGCGUUAAGUCGACCGCCUGGGGAGUACGGCCGCAAGGUUAAAACUCAAAUGAAUUGACGGGGGCCCGCACAAGCGGUGGAGCAUGUGGUUUAAUUCGAUGCAACGCGAAGAACCUUACCUGGUCUUGACAUCCACGGAAGUUUUCAGAGAUGAGAAUGUGCCUUCGGGAACCGUGAGACAGGUGCUGCAUGGCUGUCGUCAGCUCGUGUUGUGAAAUGUUGGGUUAAGUCCCGCAACGAGCGCAACCCUUAUCCUUUGUUGCCAGCGGUCCGGCCGGGAACUCAAAGGAGACUGCCAGUGAUAAACUGGAGGAAGGUGGGGAUGACGUCAAGUCAUCAUGGCCCUUACGACCAGGGCUACACACGUGCUACAAUGGCGCAUACAAAGAGAAGCGACCUCGCGAGAGCAAGCGGACCUCAUAAAGUGCGUCGUAGUCCGGAUUGGAGUCUGCAACUCGACUCCAUGAAGUCGGAAUCGCUAGUAAUCGUGGAUCAGAAUGCCACGGUGAAUACGUUCCCGGGCCUUGUACACACCGCCCGUCACACCAUGGGAGUGGGUUGCAAAAGAAGUAGGUAGCUUAACCUUCGGGAGGGCGCUUACCACUUUGUGAUUCAUGACUGGGGUGAAGUCGUAACAAGGUAACCGUAGGGGAACCUGCGGUUGGAUCACCUCCUUA
rnacentral:rRNA from 1 species